UGUGGUUCAUAUUGGAAACUCCAGAAAGACUUAUAUUUAGGUACGGAGGGAGUAUUUCUCUAUCUAGAAUAUCCACUGGUAGGACUAGGGUUCCUACCAGGCCUCCGGCGUAGGUUGUAUGGGCAAGGAGGAGGGGGACGAGGGCUGGAGCUAGGGCUUGGGGCGGCGGCGGCUAGGGUUCCGGCUCCUUCGGGAGCCGGGCAACAGAAGAUUAUAAUAUCUUUAGUGCUUGAUCUCAAACGAUGUCUUACAACUAGUAUUUAUAACUUUAGCCUAAGAUAACUUGUGGGCCAAGCCCCUAAUACUAAUGCCCGGUGGGCCUCUUCCUAGUAUAGACCAAACCAGUCAUAACAUCUCUCCCCGCCCGCGCAAACAACUCGUCCUCGAGCUUAAAGUUUGGAUAGUGUUGGCGGAAUUCCUCGCGAUGCUCCCAAGUAGCCUCCUCCUCCGGAAGGCCCGCCCACUGAACGAGGACGAACCACACGCCACGACGGAGCUGUGCCUGCAACACCUUUGCCGGCUCUGGAAGAAUGCGACCAUCGGCGGUUGGCGGAAGCGCCGGAGGAGCCGCCGGUGGCUCGCCACGGAAGGGCUUGAGCAGCCCCACAUGAAAGACGUCGUGGAUGCGAGCGCGGGCUGGAAGCUGAAGACGAUAGGCCACCUUCCCAAUGCGCUCCACGAUAGGGAAGGGCCCGGCGUAGCGAGGGCCGAGCUUGCGCUUCGCGCGCGGGUCCAGUGACUGCGUAGAGCGGUGGAGAAGACGCAGCCACACCCAGUCACCCACCGCGAACUCCGCCUCACGAUGAUGAUCGUCGUAGUAGUGCUUGGCCAUCUGCUGGGCCUGGGAGCACAGUUUUUCCCUUUCCAAAAGAGGCACACCCAUGCCUCUCACGGAAGAAAAAUAAAUAAAAAACACGUUUUUUUCGCUUUCGAGAGGCACGGCCGUGACUCUCGCGAAAGCACAACUGUAUCUCACGCUAAAGCAAAAAACGUGCCUCUCGCGAAAGGAAAAAAAUAGAAAACAUAUUUUUUUCCGUUUCUCAGAGGCACGACCAUGACUCUCGCAAAAGGACACCUGUGCCUCUCGCGGAAGGAACAAAAACAGAAAAACAGGUUUUUUUCCUUUCCUAGAAGCACAGUCGUGACUCUAACGAAAGCACAACCGUGCCUCUCGCAGAAGCAAAAUCAUGCCUCUCGCGGAAGGAAAAAACAGAUUUUUUUUCCCAUUUCCGAGAGGCAUAGUCAGAACUCUGGCGAAAGCAAACCCGUGUCUCUGACGAAAGCAAAAUCGUGGCUCGUGAAAGAAAAAAAAGAAACACAUUUUUUGGCGCAAUUUCUUUUUGCGAAUUUUUUCAUCCAAAAGCUAAAAAUGACCGAUGAAAAACCGAAACGUCGAAAAACUCGGGAAAACAAUUUUAAAAAGCCGAAAACAAGUGCGAAUCCGUCGUCGAUGUAGUUCAAACCCCACAGCCAACCCAUUUUUGAUCAAACGUCACAUAUGAAUCCUUGUUUUAGACGGUGCACAUGUGUCCCAUAGCGCCAUGAACCCCUUGUGCGCAGUCAUAGUAUUAGAGGACUCCGGCUGUCCGGUCCUCGUUCUUCCCAUCGCCCUUCUCAGGUGGUAUGCAGAUUUAACAGUAAAGCACCCAUUUUUUGUAUAGUUCCAGGCCAUAUAAUCCUGUUCCUCCGGACCCCCAAUAGCGAUAUGUUUGAUGUCCGCCGCAUCACUCGGACUGAACAUGGCAUCCACCUUUGCUGCAUCCCACGAACGACCAUCUAGAGUUAACAAGUCUGCCACCCUUGUCACACCGGGCAUGAAGAAUUGGCCCAGUGGCUUCAAACUUCCCUGCCUCAGAAUCCAGUUGUCAUGGUGUAUAUUCACCUUUGAACCAUCUCCUAUGCGCCAUAUUGUUCCCUCCCUUAAAAGAUCUCUCCCAUACAGCACACUGCAGAAGGUGUAGGAGGCGUUGGAAGGGCAUGUGGCUGUCAUCAUUGUUUGCUCCUUAAAAUAGCGAGCUUUGAGAACCCUUGCGCACAGCGAGUUCGGUUCUUGCAAAAUCCUCCACGCCUGGUUUGCUAGCAAAGCUUGGUUGAAGCCCUCAGGAUCACGAAAACCGAGACCCCCAACUCUUUUUGUAGCACACAUUUUUUGCCAAGAGAUCCAAUGUACUUUCCUUUCACCAUUCGAUUUACCCCACCAGAAUUUCGAAGGGAUCGAAGUCAGAUUCCGGCACGUUUUCUUAGUGAGCUGAAAACAACUCAUGGUGAAAGUAGGUACAACUUGGAGUCCGGAUUUCACCAAAACCUCCUUCGCCGCUUUGGACAAACCUUGGCCCUUAUAGCCACCCACUUUUGACUUGGAACUUUCCGUGACAUACUUGAAAGUGCCCUCCUUAGAACGACCAACCAGUGUUGGCAGCCCAAGAUAUCGUUCACUUAGAGCUUCUGAAUCAAUCCCAAGUGCACACUUCAGCUCUACCUUUGUAUCAUCUCCGCACCCCUUGCCAAAAAAGAUCGAAGAUUUCUGUAAGUUCACACGUUGCCCUGAAGCCGCUUCAUAACUAUUUAAAAUCUCCUUUAAGGCCUCCAUAUUGUCCCUCGAUCCCUCCAAAAACACAAUGCUGUCGUCCGCAAAAAGGAGGUGAGUUACAUGGGGGCCAGUGCUCCCAAACGUCACCCCUUUGAUCUUAGCGUCUUCUUGUGCCUUCUUCAACAGUGCAGAGAAACCCUCAACACAAAAGAGGAAGAGAUAUGGAGAGAGCACCUUCAACAGUGCCGUAGUCCCCGAGAGGGUGAAAACCUCCUAGAACAAGCACCAUUCAUCUUGACAGAAAAAUUAGCAGUGGUGACACACCUCAUGAUCAUCGUAAUCCACUGUGGUGCAAAACCAAACUGCUCUAACAUCUGUUGCAAAAACACCCAUUCAACCCUAUCAUACGCCUUCAUCAUGUCCAGUUUUACUGCACACAACGGUUUCUUCCUUUUCCUAGUCCGUAUUGCAUGAACACACUCAUACGCAACAAGGACAUUGUCAGUGAUGAGACAUCCCGAUACAAACGCGCUUUGCUCCUCUGAGAUAAGAAUGGGGAGGAUGCCUUUCAAUCUAUUUGCCAAUACUUCAGUUGCAAUCUUAUAAAGCACGUUGCACAAACUAAUUGGUCUUAACUGAGACAACAACUCCGGUGAGUUGGUCUUGGGAAUCAUGAAAAUGACGGUAUCGUUAAAAUCCUCCAGGGUGGCCACACCACCCAAGAAAUCCCUCACAGCUCAAUACACAUCCUCACGGACCUGCGGCCAGUGCCGCUGGUAGAAAAGAGCCGGAAGCCCGUCCGGAGCGGGCGCCUUCAUUGGCCCCAUUUGGAACAGAGCCGCAUGUAUCUCUUCAUCAGUGAUAAGAGCAGUAAGCGCGUCGUUCAUAUCCGGAGAGACCACUUGAUGUAUGUUCUGUAAUAAAGCAUUGGCCCCCGACGAACCAUCCGAAGUAAAUAGCCCCUCGUAGAAACUGGCAGCCAUUUCUCUCAUCUGUUCAUCAACUGUACAUCUAGUUCCAUCCUCCCUCCGGAGAGCUUUGAUCGUGUUUUUCCUUUUCCUAUGAGUAGCCCGGCUCUGAAAAUAUUUUGUGUUCUGACCGCAUCGCCUGCACUCAACCAGUCUACUCUUGACCUCUGCUUAUACAUAAUUUCUUCAUGUGUAUAGAUUUCCUUGAGCUGCGCUUCAAUCUCGCGGACCUCCAAUGAGUGUCCAGUCGAAAGAGCUCUCACCUUAGCUUCACUCAACCUUUUAACUUUGCAAUCAUCCUUCUGAUCGAGCCAAAAACUUCCCGCGCCCACCUUUGCAUCGCCCCCGUCGUGCCUCUGAGUCGUUGCCACACUACAGCUAGACCUUGGUCCCCGGUUCCUGCUACCUCCCACGCUUCUUCAAACAUAGCUUGAUAGCCCUCAUGGCGAGUCCAAGCUUCCUCAUAUCUAAAAGCUCUAUCACUUGGCCCAUCUCGACGCGGAGCCAUCUCCAGCGCCCGAACCAACAAAGCUUGGUGGUCAGACUCUUCGGUUAUGAUGUGUUCAACUGUUGUCUAGGGGAACAUCCGUAAGAAAGAAUCAGUGCAUGUGGCUCGAUCUAACCGAACCUGAAUAUUUUCCACACCAUCCCGCUUAUUAUCCCAAGUAUAAUGAUAGCCCGAGAACCCCAAGUCUGCCAGGCCACAAUCAGCAAGACAGUCACGAAAAUCUUCCAUUUGCAAGAAGGGUCUUGGGUUACCACCAAUCUGGUCAGAAAGAAACAAGGCUUCAUUGUAAUCACCCAAACAAAUCCACGGCAGAUCGUCUUGAGCUCGCAGGAAUCUAAUAGCAUCCCAUGAUUUCUUGCGUAGUUCUGUUCGGGGUUCCCCGUAGAAUCCAGUGAUCCUACAAGUUUUCCCCUCACACAUCACCUCUGCAUCGAUAAAGUACUGGCUCCACGGACGCACGGUAACCUGAAGAUGAUCUCUCCACCAUAGAGCAAGACCUCCACUCCUCCCUUGACAGUCUACUGCUACACCACGAUUAAAUCCCAUGCUCCACUGUAGUCGCUCCAUUGCUCUCGCCGUUUUCUUCUUCUCACAAAGAAAAACCACCGCCGGGUUGUAGGACCGUAUCAGGUCUCUUAAUUCGCCAACUGUCGAGUCCAACCCCAAUCUUGGACAGUUCCAGGCCAAGAGAUUCAUGGCGUCCGGCGGCCCCCCGACAUGGGGUCCGCCGAUCUAUCAUUGGUCUCGGAAAUACGGCCGAACACAGAGGUCGUUUUCUGCCUCGUAUCACGGAUAAAGCCAUCAUGUGAAAUCUGCCUAUCCGGGUCGUCCUUUGCCACCCAAUAUUGCUUUGGCCCCCUCUUGCGUCCACCAUGUUCAUAUCUUGGUUGGUGCUUGUCAUGUUGCACCUCUCUAUACUCCUGCCUUGGUUUUCUGAUAUAGUAGCCCUUGGUUCUUGUUUUGCCCAGCUCUUCUCCCUGCCCCGAUCGGGUCAUACCAUCACCUCUAUGGCCUCCCCUGUAGUACUCCCCAUUCGCAGACCUUCUCUCCCUCCCAGCAUCCCUUGAGCUGCCCCCAUAGUUGAACUGUUGCCUCUCAUGUAGCUUAUUUCUCAGCUCAUUUUCCUUCUUUUGCUCAAGGCCCGUUCUCAGGCCAAGGGGCUUAUUACAACAAAAUAAUCCUGGAAAACAUCUAGGCCCACCCUGACACCAGCACACAUCGCGAGAUCCACAAGUGGUACAGAUUCCGGGACCCUGUGAUCUCGGGCUCACAUUAGUACUUUCGUAUGUUACUAGUCAACCUUUCGCCCGCUUGCAGCCCGAUGCGAGCGCUAGCGAUGCCGCUUCCGAUCCCCUGCAUCUCCCUUCCCUCGUUCGCUUCACCUUCCACCUCGGCGCGAGAAAUCCAUCCUUGCCUCGCUCCAAAUCGCUUCGUGCGCGCCAAAUCCAAGCUUUAAAGCCUCUAGCUUCCCCAACCGCCCCUCCCCCCAACUCUAGAACAGCCGCCGACGCCGCAUCAACAAGAUGGGUCAGCAGUCAAAAGGACGCGUGCGCCGGUGCCUCAGGUCAUCCCGCCGUCGCUGCCUCAAAUUCGUUCCGCCGUUGAUGCCGCAGCUCGUCCCGCCGCUAGCGCCACACCUCGUCCCGCCACCAUGCUAGCCCGGACCAGGUGCCUAGAUUCCCCAACGGCCACCAACUGCAGCGGCGGCCUCUGCACCAUGCUGGCUCCUCAGACGCAAGGCUGUUUGUGGUACACGAAUGUUCCUCGUCCCGCCACCACACCAGCCCGGACCAGGUGCCUCGAUUCCCCCACGGCCACCAAAUGCAGCGGCGACCUCUGCACCAUGCUGGCUUCCCCAGACGCAAGGCCCACACGAAUGCUGAUGAUUUGAAUCCAGAAGCAUGGUAUGUUUUCUCCCCCUAUUUACUAGUACAGUCUUGCUGUGAUAGCAUUAUGUAUGAUACAUUUGUUCACCUGUUUACGCAUACCCAAGCCCCUAUUUCCGGGGAUGUUUUCGCUACCAGGUUUCACCAUUUGGCUGAAAAUGACCCCUUGGUAAUCCGGUUCAGGGCAUGUGUAUUUUUUUGGAAAUGACCGUGUACAAACAUGUGGUGUCUUUAGGUUUUCGUUUGAAAUAUUUUGAACAUGCGUACGUGUUGCGUUGUUUCGUCUAAGUUUUUUGCUCUACGUGGGCCAGUCCGUUUCCUCUGUGGAUCGGUGCUUCCGUGGGCCAUUUCGUUUCCUCCGUGGAUCGGUGCUUCCGUGGGCUUCCAUUGGUCUUUGGUCUGCGCACGUGUCGAUUCGAUCGCCUAGAUGCCUCGCCGCCGCCCUUGACCGUGCCCUCUCGAACGCUCCCGUUAGAUCUUCCACGGCCGUAUGCACCUAUAAAAGGGUCUUGUCCCUCCAUCGAGACCAUUAACUACAGCCUCCGUUGCCCCUCCAUCUUCCCCAAUUCUUUGCGCUCUGCCUGCUCGAUCUACUUCCCACCCCAUACCACAUCGACCAGGCCACCACCCCCACCAGCGGUGGAUUGUCGGGAGCAAGAACGGGAUAGACUCUAGAAGCCUUCGUCACACCAUGCGCCCUCAUCGGCUGGCCAUGGUCGGACCGUUGGGCGGAUCCGAUUGCUACUUGCUACGGCGGCGCAAGCGCAGGUGGUCGACGGGAGAUCCCUGUGACAGAUGAACUGCGUUCCCAUGCAAUGGAUGGCGGGCCUAGCUCGAGCUCAUCUUUUGAGUGGUGGCCUGAUACUCUUCGGCGACAGUCAUUGGUACAUGGUUGUGCGGUUGCUGUUGCACAUGAAGCAUCCGUGGAUUGACUGCCAGGAUGGAAGGAACGGGCGGCGCUGGAGCAUGACCUGGGUAUUUGGAACCUCUACAUGAAGGAGAUAAUUAAUUGAUGCUGGUCAAGAACUCUCAUUCCUCGAAGACGAGGCGAAGUUUUUACAAGAAUAGGUGAGAUGCUUGCAGCUAGAGCGGGGAGCCAAAUGGACUAAAUCCAUAUGAGUUGCAGAUCACGUGGAGCCGUUGUGUGCACUCAAUCCUCUACUACUUUUUGGGUACUAUUUUGUAUUACAGGCUCAACUAUUGAUGGACAUGUUGAUAGCGUGGGGAGACCUUUGUAAAAGUUUUAGGUCCGGUGUUUAGUCUUGGUGGAAAGAAAUGGCAGUGUAUCCUUUUUAUUUGUAGCACUCAUAAUGAUAAUAAAUGUAUCAUUCAAACAUUGUUCGGUAUCAACGAGGUGCGGCGUGCCGCCGUGCGGGUAUUGGUAGUAUCUGGUUAGUUAGUACUAUCAUGCAAUGCUAGCCUGCUAUGUGAUACAUUUGUUUUUCUGCUUAUCUGAACUCUGAACAUGCAGAUGGUCUUUGUUGGUGUCAAACUGUCAAAUAUUUGCAUGAUAUGCAACUAUGCGUUUCUGUAUGAUA